UCCGGAGGGGACUAGCGUUGUUCGGAAUUACUGGGCGUAAAGCGCACGUAGGCGGAUUCGUGAGUCAGGGGUGAAAUCCCGAGGCUCAACCUCGGAACUGCCUUUGAUACUGCGAAUCUCGAGUCCGGAAGAGGUGAGUGGAAUUCCUAGUGUAGAGGUGAAAUUCGUAGAUAUUAGGAAGAACACCAGUGGCGAAGGCGGCUCACUGGUCCGGUACUGACGCUGAGGUGCGAAAGCGUGGGGAGCAAACAGG
rnacentral:rRNA from 1 species